CUCGUAGGCGGUUCGUCGCGUCCGGUGUGAAAGUCCAUCGCUUAACGGUGGAUCUGCGCCGGGUACGGGCGGGCUGGAGUGCGGUAGGGGAGACUGGAAUUCCCGGUGUAACGGUGGAAUGUGUAGAUAUCGGGAAGAACACCAAUGGCGAAGGCAGGUCUCUGGACCGUUACUGACGCUGAGGAGCGAAAGCGUGGGGAGCGAACA
rnacentral:rRNA from 1 species